CAAAUGCAGCCUUUUAUUGAUGUCAGCAAUAGCUUGUAAACCUCAAACGUGACUUCACACCCAGAGAUUUCUUCCCUGCCCAGAAGAAAAGCUUUUUUUCAAGGGAACUCCCGGCCUCACUUUUAAGAGUAUUUUGUGCAUGACCAUACUAUGGGGCUGCGUGUGAAGAGCAGCGAAGCGGCAGCUGAUGAUGGUACCCAGACAGGAUGGCGUCACAUUUUUAUGACAACGGAGAUAUUUAUGGUAUAACUGACAAGCCAAAGCCAGUGACUGUAACAUUAAGAUGAGAAGAAUUAGUCUUCUUGUGCUGUUCCUGUAGGUUCACCAUUGGCUGAAUCCAACCGGAACCCAAAGGGUGUGGAAAUCCUGUUGAGGCAGUUGGUACAGGUCAGACUUCCAAGGCACAGAGCAGGGUGCAGAAGUACGGGGAAUAAGAUGGAAGAUGCAUUACAUGCAAUGAUAGCUUUCCUUCCAACAGAUUUUUCUUUUGCUCCACUGAAGGAAAUGAUUUCUAAAAGGCAUACAUGAAAAGAGAGAUACAGGGUUUUUAUUUGAAUGGAAGUCUCAAUACAACAUUGCCAUUUAUUCUGAGGCAUUUAAUCACUUAAUGAUUUUUCAUUUUAAGAAAUAUUUCAGACAUAUAUAAGAUGGUUUACCUAGGGAGAACAGUCAUGUACCUAUCACCCAGCCUAAUAACUAAAACAUUAUGAAAAACAGAUUGAAGGCCCUCAGUAGUCUCCCCAUUCACAUUCCCUUCUUCCUCUGCAGAAGUAGCCAACAUGUGGAAUCUGGUGGCUGUCAUUCUCAUUCAUUUCUUUGAAAUGUUACUAUAUAUCUUUUCCCACUCAAACAAUAUUUAUAAUUGUUCAAAUGGUAAAUGUAUCAGUUUUGCAAGAUGAGUAAGUUCUAGAGAUCUGUAUAGCAUAGAGCCUAUAGUAUUGUCCACUUAGACGUUUGUUAUGAGGGUAAAUAUCCUGCUGUGCUCUCACCACAAAGGAGAAAGGAAGAAAGAAGGAAAGAAAUAAAGGACUUAAAGUUUGGGAGGUCAUGGACAUUAUCUAUUACUUUGAAUUGUAGUGGUGGUUUCACAGGUGUAUGUGUAUGUCCAAACUCACUAAAAUGUGUACAUUAAAUUAUACCUCAAUAAAGCUGUCAAAAAAACAUAU